CCUCUGAAGAUGGUUCAGAAAUUUCAGCUGGUGCACAAUUCAGUGGCCAGGUUUCUCAUCGAAGCAAGACAUAUAACGCCAAAUGUGGCCUGAUUGCUCUAGUGCUGAUCAGUUUCCGGGCCCAAUUCAAAGGGUUGGUUUUGAUCUAUAAAGGCUUAAAGCUUAGGACCAUAAUACCUCAAGUACUGCCUCUCCCCAUAGGAAGCAACCUAGACCCUGCAAUCAUCAUCAUCUGAGGACCUUAUUUGUGUGCCUUCUCUGUGAGAGAUCUGGAGGGCAGCAACGUGAGAACAGACCUUUUCUGCAUUGGCUCCCUGCUUGUAGAAUGCUCUCCCCUUGGUUACAUAUCUUUAGACACCAGGUAAAAACAUUCUACUUCUUCCAUUCCUUUGGCUAUUCUUUUAAACUGUGGGGGGCUGGUAUUGGUUUUGUUUUUUUAAACCUAUGUAUGUUUAUGUUUUUAGAUUGUAAACUGUCCUGUGAUCUUCAGAUGAAGGGUGAUACAGAAAUUAAAUAAAGAAAUAACAUAAAAAUAAUUAAUAAAUUUGGGGAAGGAAGAAGGGGUAAAUGGGAAGGCCAACACCCAUACAUAAGGGCUUCUGUCAAAUUAUCAACCUGACCAAAGCAUGUUGGCUAUUUGCAGUUUAGUUGCACUGCAGAAAGCUUGCUGGGGAGACCACACAUUACAAGGAACUCAAAAAUAACUUUAACGAGGUUUUAAUAACAAAAACUCCUUUUACACUAAACAUAUCAAUAAGCAUGACCCAUCCACCAACCCAACCCCCAGGGUACAGAGAGAGCUAGGUGCUUCUCUUUAUAUACUAUACCCAAUUGCUGACACAGCUUAAUUAACACAACUUAGCAGCACCUGCUAUACUGUUUCACAGCUGUAAGACUGGGUCUCGUUAUUUGCUCUGGCCCUUAAAGACUUACACAUAUUGUGGAACAAUAAUGAACCUUCACAUUUAAAGAGACCAUUCAACAAAGCAUGCAAAGGAAGAUUCUCCUAAGGUUUAUCAAAUAUGUGUGUUUGUUUGCAUACAGGUGUAGGAGUUCACCCACCAUUAGAUUCACAGUUAAUUGGGUUGAAAUAUGCUGAAGGCAAUUGAUCACAAUAUGUUGUGAUAGUUUUGCUGAGGUGUGUGUAUGCAAAUUGACGUUAAGUUCUGCAGUUGUUUCAGGUUGAGGACAAAGCUUUGAUCUAUUUUGUGCAAAGCUAUCUGCUUUCCUCAGAGAAGCACAGGGCAUAGGCUAUCCGACCUGUAGCUGCUAUUUUUAUUUCAUUUCCCCCGUGACUCUGCUCAAGAAUGAACUCUGUUAGCACACCCACGGAUGAGUCCAAACAAACAGUUUGGGAUGCAGACUAUCUGCAAGACAGAGAGAUGAUUUAGCUAUUGCUUGCCCCUUUCGGUUCUGAGUUCUUAUUCCCCUUAGCAACACACUGGCUGUAAGAGAAAAACUUAUUCAUGCUCUAGAAAUGUAAUAUUUACUCAAAACAAUUUUAUUUGCCUUGGCUUCCUCCUGGUGCCAUAAAGUGAUAGCCAACAUCAAGUACUUAAAAAGCCAGCAUGUGCAUAUGACUCAUAUUUGUUAUCCUUAUUAAUAAAAAAGCACAUGUUUUUUGAUGUUUGGUGCAAUCAUGUGGGACUCAGGUCUGGAGCACGUCUUAAGCAUAGCCUGUCUCUGGAAUCUGCAGAGAUUUGCCCUGCUCCAUAUUUAGACCUUGUGGGUGGAAGGCUAGGUAGAAGCCAACUUUUUAUGCCAUUACAUCACAAGAAUCAAGGACUUUAGGCUGAGGGGUCCAAGACAAUUAAUGAAGAGCAGCUGCUCACAUGUAAAUCACAAUAAGUAUGUAAGUAUUAAUAAAACAGAUUUUAUUCACAGCAGGAUAAUCUCAUAGUUGAAAUUAAACAUGCACACACACCCUUAAAGAUAACUGGAAAAGGAUUAGCAUUCACAAAGCAAAGGCCAGCUAAGCUCUAAUUACGGUAACUGAGUUGUUAGCUAAGCUAUUUACAUCAACCAACAGACAUUGCCCACCCAGUUAUUUCACAAAAUGGCAGAUGCAAUUACCAAAAUUGAAUCACUGCCCUAUCUUGGCAUGUCAAGGAGGUGACGAAAAUGUGACUUGUAUGGUUGCAGGCGGGGUGUGGGCGCGCAGGCGGAGAAUGAACAGGUUUUGAGUUUUCUCCAUGAGGCACUUUUGAGCUAUCUAGUUUGAAAUUGAAAUUUAUUUCUUAACAUGGCAUUGGGAAACCAACAGAAAUCUAUCUGCUAGAGCUAGCCACAUAUUUCUCAGGUUGUCUUAGCAGGCUGGGCAACAUCUGUUCACCUUAUCUAGAAGUGCAUUUUUAAAAAGAGAGAGUCUGUCCAGCUUCUUUCUACUUCUCUGUGUACUUAUAUAUAUUCCAUGGGUCUGCAGUAUCUGAGAUUCUGCUAGAAAACACAGCCAGGGGUUGUAGGAUAAUGGCUAAGUGGGGAAUAAAUGGCAGCAGCCUCCCACAACAAUACACUCUCAGACAGAUGGUCCAGCUCACUUUGAGCUGGCAAAUAUUCCCUGCACUUCUUUACUGAGUUAAGCAAGUUCUUACCUGUUAUGAUGAAUAAUGUUCAUAUAUGCUCACAGCAGGAUGUACAGGGUGUUAGGGAAGGAGGAGUAUCUCUGGUGGGAGAUACGUCAUGCCUCUUCUGGGAUAGUUUGUCCACCUUUGGUCCCCACCCUGCACUCAGAUUUCAUCUGUGGCUCCUAGAAGCUGUCAGCAUGUGACAGUGGCCUCACCCUGGGAACCAGCUUUGACUGGCUGGUUAAACAGGUGAGGGUAGUUGAUGGGUCUCAAGCCCUCUGUGAGUUAGGGACUUCUCCUGCAUGUGAAGGGUGCAGGCUGCAACUUAGAUGAGCAGGACAUGGUAGGGAUGAUUUGCAAAAUAUGUUUAUGUGGGAUUUAUCAAAACCACUUUAAAUCUGUGGUGUGUACACACCCUUGGAUGGAUCCUGACCAAAUCAGCCAGGCUUCAAAGUGCUUUGGCAGGAUGUUUUCCAAAGCUCCAAACCAAGGUACUAACUGGAUCUUGUGUUUGGUGCACACCCCUACUACCUCGUAUACAUUUCAUCUCAAGGACGAAAUGUGCCAAGUUCCUUGUUGCUGAGACAUUGGGAAUAUGGCUGUCAAAGAAGAACUAUGUAGUCAUUGGGCAGUUUAAGAGAAUCGGGGAAUGGAGUAUGUGCAAGAAGGAGAUUCGCAGCAAUAUCUCUCCCAGGAAAGCAAUAGUAUCUUAAAAGGGCAAAUCUGCUUUUGUCGACCAAAAUGUAGCAAUUCCAGCUCCCCCUACCCUUUUAAAGCUGUACCCUGGUCAUGUCUCUUAGCACAUAGUCUUUCAUCUGAAACUAAAGUGAUAAGAAGAUAAGAGCUGACCAAAGGUCAAAUGAGUCUAGCAUUUUGUUGUGACGGAUGGUCAGCCAGAGGCUUCUGUGAAGCCUACAAUCAGGGCAUGACACCCAGGAAAGCAGGAGUGAUUCACAUUCUCGACAUGUGGAACAGCACAUCAUCAGAGUCUACCAAGUGUAUCAAUUUGCACCAAACUGUGUAUACAAGGAGAGCCUAUCUGCAACACUGUUGGAGCACCGGUGUCAUUUUCACAUCAAAACUUUUCAAUGAUGGGAAUUAUAAUUUACUGAAACAGAUCUCCCAACUUUUGUGGUCUUGACUAUAGCUCUUCUGGCUCAUGAGAUUUCUUGGAACUUGAAAUCAGCAGAAUCCUGAACCACCUCACUUUCCUUGUAAAUGAGAGUGCCUUGGACAAAAAGUCAAAAUACCAUGAUAUCAGAGAGCUGACUCAGUUCCUGGAAUCCUCAGGGACAGAAAUGCUGAUAAAGUGAGAGACAACCCUUUAUGCGCUGAACCCAAACAACAUUUGUCUAAAAACAAGGACUGUAGCAAGGAUGCAAUCUACUACAAGAUUGCUGACGAGGACACCCUUAGAAGGCAAGAGAUGGAAUUGAACAUAUUUUACCAAGUUUGGCUACAACUAUAGAGUAAAGGAAAUUGUGAAAGAGAAAAGGAGGUUCCAAUUUUGUUAUUUGCCACUGGUGCCGAAAACUGGAAGGGAAUUUUAUUAAAAGUAGACUAGUUACAUUCUUAGGCUGUGUCUGCAUCUUUAAAUGCAGAUGCUGUGGAAGUACUACUUGAUGCAGAUGCAAAACCCUGCUCCUCCCAAUGGUGACAUUCCUCUAAAUAAAAAAGCGAUCAAUGUUUCAUUACGCACAUUGGCUAAACCUAGACACACACCAGUGCUGAUUUGGACUUGUAGAAAUCUACAAAUGUAGAUGUGAGCUUGGAUUGAUUUCCCCAGGCUCCAGUCAUUGCUUUGAUGUUGGGAAGCAGUGCUUGGACAGAUCAUCCAAAAUUUGUGAGGUUUACAAAUGGAACCCCUGCAGAAGAAAAAAAAAACUAUUGUUCUGUGUGAGUAAAGACAUCACGGACUGUGACAUCCUCCAAAAAUUAUGGAGACUUUUCAAAAAACCUAUUCAGUGCUAUAAAUACAUCAUAAAUAGAGGUCAUUAAAUGACAGGGAACAAGAGCUUUCCAAUGUAAACAAAUAAAUUCUGCAUUGUACUGCCCUCUCUGGCCUUAUAAAACCAAGUUGAGCCGAGGAGUUGCAGUACAUUGCAUGACAAUAGAACAUAAUAGAAAUGAUGCUGAGGGGGCGGGCUUUGCCAUUGCUGUUCCAAAACUUUAAAUGACACAAAUGUGAAAUUAUAAGUCUGUCCAUACUUGCCCCAUGAUUUACUCCCUGCUGUUAUGUGAUGCUGCAGAAUUGC